UGGGGAAUUUUGGACAAUGGGCGAAAGCCUGAUCCAGCAAUGCCGCGUGUGUGAAGAAGGCCUUCGGGUUGUAAAGCACUUUUGUCCGGAAAGAAAUCCUUGGCUCUAAUACAGUCGGGGGAUGACGGUACCGGAAGAAUAAGCACCGGCUAACUACGUGCCAGCAGCCGCGGUAAUACGUAGGGUGCAAGCGUUAAUCGGAAUUACUGGGCGUAAAGCGUGCGCAGGCGGUUUGCUAAGACCGAUGUGAAAUCCCCGGGCUCAACCUGGGAACUGCAUUGGUGACUGGCAGGCUAGAGUAUGGCAGAGGGGGGUAGAAUUCCACGUGUAGCAGUGAAAUGCGUAGAGAUGUGGAGGAAUACCGAUGGCGAAGGCAGCCCCCCUGGGCCAAUACUGACGCUCAUGCACGAAAGCGUGGGGAGCAAACAGGAUUAGAUACCCUGGUAGUCCACGCCCUAAACGAUGUCAACUAGUUGUUGGGGAUUCAUUUCCUUAGUAACGUAGCUAACGCGUGAAGUUGACCGCCUGGGGAGUACGGUCGCAAGAUUAAAACUCAAAGGAAUUGACGGGGUCAUAGCUGUUUCCU
rnacentral:rRNA from 1 species